AUUGAACGCUGGCGGCAGGCCUAACACAUGCAAGUCGAACGAGUGGCGGACGGGUGAGUAAUGUCUGGGAAACUGCCUGAUGGAGGGGGAUAACUACUGGAAAAGGUAGCUAAUACCGCAUACCAUCGUAUGUGCCCAGAUUGGAUUGUCUGGAAGGGGGGUUAACGGCUCACCUAGGCGACGACACCUAGCUGGUCUGAGAGGAUGAACAGCCACUCGGGAACGGAGACAGGGUCCAGCCUCCUACGGGAGGAAGCAGUGGGAAAUAUGGCACAAUGGGCGAAAGCCGGAUGCAGCAAUGCCGCGUGUAUGAAGAAGGCCUUCGGGUUGUAAGGUACUUUCAGCGGGGAGGCGUUACCCGCAGAGGAAGCACCGGCUAACUCCGUGCCAGCAGCCGCGGUAAUUC
rnacentral:rRNA from 1 species